rnacentral:rRNA from 1 species
CAACUCGACUACAUGAAGCUGGAAUCGCUAGUAAUCGCGGAUCAGAAUGCCGCGGUGAAUACGUUCCCGGGUCUUGUACACACCGCCCGUCACACCAUGGGAGUCGGAAAUGCCCGAAGUCUGUGACCCAACCUGAGAGGGAGGGAGCAGCCGAAGGCAGGUCUGAUGACUGGGGUGAAGUCGUAACAAGGUAGC